rnacentral:rRNA from 1 species
UACGAAGGGGGCUAGCGUUGCUCGGAAUCACUGGGCGUAAAGGGUGCGUAGGCGGGUCUUUAAGUCAGGGGUGAAAUCCUGGAGCUCAACUCCAGAACUGCCUUCGAUACUGGCGAUCUUGAGUCCGGAAGAGGUGAGUGGAACUCCGAGUGUAGAGGUGAAAUCCGUAGAUAUUCGCAAGAACACCAGUGGCGAAGGCGGCUCACUGGCCCGAUACUGACGCUGAGGCACGAAAGCGUGGGGAGCAAACAGG